rnacentral:rRNA from 1 species
GGGUUGUGAGGUUAAGCGACUAAGCGUACACGGUGGAUGCCCUGGCAGUCAGAGGCGAUGAAGGACGUGCUAAUCUGCGAAAAGCGCCGGCGAGGUGAUAUGAACCUUUGACCCGGCGAUGUCCGAAUGGGGAAACCCAGUGUGAUUCGUCACACUAUCGUUAACUGAAUACAUAGGUUAACGAGGCGAACCGGGGGAACUGAAACAUCUAAGUACCCCGAGGAAAAGAAAUCAACCGAGAUUCCCCCAGUAGCGGCGAGCGAACGGGGAGCAGCCCAGAGUCUGAAUCAGCGUGUGUGUUAGUGGAACGGUCUGGAAAGUCCGGCGAUACAGGGUGACAGCCCCGUACACGAAAGCACACAUGCUGUGAACUCGAAGAGUAGGGCGGGACACGUGGUAUCCUGUCUGAAUAUGGGGGGACCAUCCUCCAAGGCUAAAUACUCCUGACUGACCGAUAGUGAACCAGUACCGUGAGGGAAAGGCGAAAAGAACCCCGGCGAGGGGAGUGAAAAAGAACCUGAAACCGUGUACGUACAAGCAGUGGGAGCACCCUUCGGGGUGUGACUGCGUACCUUUUGUAUAAUGGGUCAGCGACUUAUAUUCUGUAGCAAGGUUAACCGAAUAGGGGAGCCGAAGGGAAACCGAGUCUUAACUGGGCGUUAAGUUGCAGGGUAUAGACCCGAAACCCGGUGAUCUAGCCAUGGGCAGGUUGAAGGUUGGGUAACACUAACUGGAGGACCGAACCGACUAAUGUUGAAAAAUUAGCGGAUGACCUGUGGCUGGGGGUGAAAGGCCAAUCAAACCGGGAGAUAGCUGGUUCUCCCCGAAAGCUAUUUAGGUAGCGCCUCGUGAACUCAUCUUCGGGGGUAGAGCACUGUUUCGGCUAGGGGGUCAUCCCGACUUACCAACCCGAUGCAAACUGCGAAUACCGAAGAAUGUUAUCACGGGAGACACACGGCGGGUGCUAACGUCCGUCGUGAAGAGGGAAACAACCCAGACCGCCAGCUAAGGUCCCAAAGUCAUGGUUAAGUGGGAAACGAUGUGGGAAGGCCCAGACAGCCAGGAUGUUGGCUUAGAAGCAGCCAUCAUUUAAAGAAAGCGUAAUAGCUCACUGGUCGAGUCGGCCUGCGCGGAAGAUGUAACGGGGCUAAACCAUGCACCGAAGCUGCGGCAGCGACGCUUAUGCGUUGUUGGGUAGGGGAGCGUUCUGUAAGCCGUUGAAGGUGUGCUGUGAGGCAUGCUGGAGGUAUCAGAAGUGCGAAUGCUGACAUAAGUAACGAUAAAGCGGGUGAAAAGCCCGCUCGCCGGAAGACCAAGGGUUCCUGUCCAACGUUAAUCGGGGCAGGGUGAGUCGACCCCUAAGGCGAGGCCGAAAGGCGUAGUCGAUGGGAAACAGGUUAAUAUUCCUGUACUUGGUGUUACUGCGAAGGGGGGACGGAGAAGGCUAUGUUAGCCGGGCGACGGUUGUCCCGGUUUAAGCAUGUAGGCGGAGGUUCCAGGUAAAUCCGGUACCUUUUAACGCUGAGGUGUGAUGACGAGGCACUACGGUGCUGAAGUAACAAAUGCCCUGCUUCCAGGAAAAGCCUCUAAGCAUCAGGUAACACGAAAUCGUACCCCAAACCGACACAGGUGGUCAGGUAGAGAAUACCAAGGCGCUUGAGAGAACUCGGGUGAAGGAACUAGGCAAAAUGGUGCCGUAACUUCGGGAGAAGGCACGCUGACAUGUAGGUGAAGCCCCUGCGGGUGGAGCUGAAGUCAGUCGAAGAUACCAGCUGGCUGCAACUGUUUAUUAAAAACACAGCACUGUGCAAACACGAAAGUGGACGUAUACGGUGUGACGCCUGCCCGGUGCCGGAAGGUUAAUUGAUGGGGUUAUCCUUAGGGAGAAGCUCUUGAUCGAAGCCCCGGUAAACGGCGGCCGUAACUAUAACGGUCCUAAGGUAGCGAAAUUCCUUGUCGGGUAAGUUCCGACCUGCACGAAUGGCGUAAUGAUGGCCAGGCUGUCUCCACCCGAGACUCAGUGAAAUUGAACUCGCUGUGAAGAUGCAGUGUACCCGCGGCAAGACGGAAAGACCCCGUGAACCUUUACUAUAGCUUGACACUGAACAUUGAGCCUUGAUGUGUAGGAUAGGUGGGAGGCUUUGAAGCGUGGACGCCAGUCUGCGUGGAGCCAACCUUGAAAUACCACCCUUUAAUGUUUGAUGUUCUAACCUGGCGCCGUAAUCCGGCGUGGGGACAGUGUCUGGUGGGUAGUUUGACUGGGGCGGUCUCCUCCUAAAGAGUAACGGAGGAGCACGAAGGUUGGCUAAUCCUGGUCGGACAUCAGGAGGUUAGUGCAAUGGCAUAAGCCAGCUUGACUGCGAGCGUGACGGCGCGAGCAGGUGCGAAAGCAGGUCAUAGUGAUCCGGUGGUUCUGAAUGGAAGGGCCAUCGCUCAACGGAUAAAAGGUACUCCGGGGAUAACAGGCUGAUACCGCCCAAGAGUUCAUAUCGACGGCGGUGUUUGGCACCUCGAUGUCGGCUCAUCACAUCCUGGGGCUGAAGUAGGUCCCAAGGGUAUGGCUGUUCGCCAUUUAAAGUGGUACGCGAGCUGGGUUUAGAACGUCGUGAGACAGUUCGGUCCCUAUCUGCCGUGGGCGCUGGAGAAUUGAGGGGGGCUGCUCCUAGUACGAGAGGACCGGAGUGGACGCAUCACUGGUGUUCGGGUUGUCAUGCCAAUGGCAUUGCCCGGUAGCUACAUGCGGAAGAGAUAAGUGCUGAAAGCAUCUAAGCACGAAACUUGCCCCGAGAUGAGUUCUCCCUGAGACCCAGAGUCUCCUGAAGGAACGUUAAAGACUAUGACGUUGAUAGGCCGGGUGUGUAAGCGCAGCGAUGCGUUGAGCUAACCGGUACUAAUGAACCGUGAGGCUUAACCUUACAACGCCGAAG